GGGGAUAGCCUUUAGAAAUGAAGAUUAAUAUCCCAUAAUAUUGAGAAUUGGCAUCGAUUUUUAAUUAAAGAUUUAUCGGUAAAAGAUAGCUAUGCGUCCUAUUAGCUAGAUGGUAAGGUAACGGCUUACCAUGGCAACGAUGGGUAGGGGGCCUGAGAGGGUGAUCCCCCACACUGGUACUGAGACACGGACCAGACUCCUACGGGAGGCAGCAGUGAGGAAUAUUGGACAAUGGACGCAAGUCUGAUCCAGCCAUGCCGCGUGCAGGAAGAAUGCCCUAUGGGUUGUAAACUGCUUUUAUUUGGGAAUAAACCCCUCUACGUGUAGAGGGCUGAAGGUACCAAACGAAUAAGCACCGGCUAACUCCGUGCCAGCAGCCGCGGUAAUACG
rnacentral:rRNA from 1 species